rnacentral:rRNA from 1 species
GAUGAACGCUAGCUACAGGCUUAACACAUGCAAGUCGCGGGGCAGCAUGGGGGUUGCUUGCAAUCCCCGAUGGCGACCGGCGCACGGGUGAGUAACGCGUAUCCAACCUGCCCUUCACCACGGGAUAACCCGGCGAAAGUCGGACUAAUACCGUAUGUUGUCCAUUGACGGCAUCCGAUUUGGACGAAAGGUUUGGCGGUGAAGGAUGGGGAUGCGUCCGAUUAGCUGGACGGCGGGGUGACGGCCCACCGUGGCGACGAUCGGUAGGGGUUCUGAGAGGAAGGUCCCCCACACUCGAACUGAGACACGGUCCAGACUCCUACGGGAGGCAGCAGUGAGGAAUAUUGGUCAAUGGGCGUAAGCCUGAACCAGCCAAGUAGCGUGCAGGAUGACGGCCCUAUGGGUUGUAAACUGCUUUUAUGCGGGGAUAAAGUGGCCCACGUGUGGGUUUUUGCAGGUACCGCAUGAAUAAGGACCGGCUAAUUCCGUG